rnacentral:lncRNA from 1 species
CCGGACCGGACCGGCCCGGACCCGGACGGGUCAUAAAAUUUGGACCCGGACCCGGCCCGGCCCACCCGUUGGUCACCUAUGAUCUAAACAAAGUGCGAUAAACAUCUAUCGGGUUUAACUGCAAACCAAGCAAACGUCAUGAAUCAACUUAGCUAACUAUGCGAAAACCAGAAUUAGAACAAAGUUAAAACAACAGGAUUGCAUUAGAACAAGCAGACUUUAAGUGGAAUGACAUUAAAUACCAAAGGAAUGAACAUAACAUAAACACAAGUAGAGAGAAGUAAAAUUACGAGAGUAUAAGGUAAUAACAGUUGCAAACAAAGUAAACAAAAAAUAAAGAACUCAAAGUCUCAGGAAUAGCUGCGAUUACUGGAAAAUGAUGAAACCCCAAAUCCUAUUACUUCAGAGUUCACAAGAGCCUUGAAGUGGGUUCUGAGAAGCGCUUGCACUAGGGAAGGUUAAUGAGCAGAAUCCGGUGGUCUUGGCUUUUAGCCGACCAAAAUCAAAAUCUCAGAAUAAUAUAGAAUAAAUGAGAGUCGUAGCAGUAAUUAUUAAGACUUAGAGGGGAAGCGGGGGAAGGGGUUUAUGGUAGAAAUUGAAAGAACAAACAUGGAAAAUAAUCAAUUAAGCACAAAUAAGAAAGAAAAAUAUCACAUGAAAAUCAAAAUCAAUAGAGGAUAUGGAGAGUCUCAGGCCCUAAUUGGGUUCAAUCAUCUGAAAAUCGAACCAAGAGUGCAAAUUGCUCUUUGUUGAGCAUAUAUAGAUGAAAUACCGCCCGAAAUCUAAAGAUUCAAGUCAUUCCAGUCCGAUCUUGGAAGUGAUACGUGCCAAACUUAGGAAAGCACCUAAGUAACACCAUAAACGGACGACCAAUAAUGAGAGAAGACUAAUAAGGUAAGUAGAUCAUAGGUAGAUUCCAUCUCUGAGUUAGAAUCGAAGAGGAACUAAGCAGCGGUUGCUAGGGUUUGCAGAAGAACUAAGAAGGUUCAAGAGUGUAUGGAGGCGGUUGUUUUGAGAAGAGUGAUAUUUAGGUUGUGUUAUGGUGAUAUAAGGAAAAAAUGGGGAGGUACUGUGAGUCGUUAAUCUCGAGAGUUAAUGCCAGUGAUUUUAAAGAGAGAGAUAGGGCGAGUCAGUC